CAAUCUGGUGAGUACAGUGGCGUACGGGUGAGUAACACGUGGAUGAUCUACCUUUUAGUGAGGAAUAACCAAGGGAAACUUUGGCUAAUACCGCAUGAGCUCGAGAGAGGAAAGUCGCAAGACGCUGAAAGAGGAGUCCGCGGCCGAUUAGCUAGUUGGUAGGGUAAAAGCCUACCAAGGCUUAGAUCGGUAGCCGGCCUGAGAGGGCACACGGCCACACUGGCACUGAAACACGGGCCAGACUCCUACGGGAGGCAGCAGUGGGGAAUCUUGCACAAUGGGGGAAACCCUGAUGCAGCGACGCCGCGUGAGCGAUGAAGCCCUUCGGGGUGUAAAGCUCUUUCGGCAGGGAAGAUAGUGACGGUACCUGCAGAAGCAGCUGCGGCUAACUACGUGCCAGCAGCCGCGGUAAUACGUAGGCAGCGAGCGUUGUUCGGAGUUACUGGGCGUAAAGGGUGUGUAGGCGGUCGUUUAAGUUUGGUGUGAAAUCUCCCGGCUCAACUGGGAGGGUGCGCCGAAUACUGAAUGACUUCGAGUGCGGGAGAGGAAAGUGGAAUUCCUGGUGUAGCGGUGAAAUGCGUAGAUAUCAGGAGGAACACCGGUGGUGUAGACGGCUUUCUGGACCGUAACUGACGCUGAGACACGAAAGCGUGGGUAGCAAACAGGAUUAGAUACCCUGGUAGUCCACGCCCUAAACGAUGCAUAUUUGGUGUGGGCAGU
rnacentral:rRNA from 1 species